rnacentral:rRNA from 1 species
UACGUAGGGUGCGAGCGUUAAUCGGAAUUACUGGGCGUAAAGCGUGCGUAGGUGGUUUGUUAAGUCUGUUGUGAAAGCCCCGGGCUCAACCUGGGAAUGGCAAUGGAUACUGGCAGGCUAGAGUGCGGUAGAGGGUAGUGGAAUUCCCGGUGUAGCGGUGAAAUGCGUAGAGAUCGGGAGGAACACCAGUGGCGAAGGCGGCUACCUGGACCAGCACUGACACUGAGGCACGAAAGCGUGGGGAUCAAACAGG